rnacentral:rRNA from 1 species
CUAACAAGGAUUCCCCUAGUAACUGCGAGUGAAGCGGGAAAAGCUCAAAUUUAAAAUCUGGCAGUCUUUGGCUGUCCGAGUUGUAAUCUAGAGAAGUAUUAUCCGCGCUGGACCGUGUACAAGUCUCCUGGAAUGGAGCGUCAUAGAGGGUGAGAAUCCCGUCUUUGACACGGACUGCCAGGGCUUUGUGAUGUGCUCUCGAAGAGUCGAGUUGUUUGGGAAUGCAGCUCAAAAUGGGUGGUAAAUUCCAUCUAAAGCUAAAUAUUGGCGAGAGACCGAUAGCGAACAAGUACCGUGAGGGAAAGAUGAAAAGAACUUUGGAAAGAGAGUUAAACAGUACGUGAAAUUGCUGAAAGGGAAACGCUUGAAGUCAGUCGCAUUGGCCAGGGAUCAACCUUGCUUUUUUGCUUGGCUUACUUUCUGGUUGAUGGGUCAGCAUCAAUUUUGACUGGUAGAAAAAGUUCAAGGGAAUGUGGCAUCUUUCGGAUGUGUUAUAGCCUUUGUUCACAUAUAUCAGUUGGGAUUGAGGAACUCAGCACGCCGCAAGGCCGGGUUUUUAACCACGUACGUGCUUAGGAUGCUGGCAUAAUGGCUUUAAUCGACCCGUCUUGAAACACGGACCAAGGAGUCUAACAUGCCUGCAAGUGUUUGGGUGAAAAACCCGAGCGCGUAAUGAAAGUGAAAGUUGAGAUCCCUGUCAUGGGGAGCAUUGACGCCCGGAUCUGACCUUUUGUGACGAUUCUGCGGUAGAGCAUGUAUGUUGGGACCCGAAAGAUGGUGAACUAUGCCUGAAUAGGGUGAAGCCAGAGGAAACUCUGGUGGAGGCUCGUAGCGAUUCUGACGUGCAAAUCGAUCGUCAAAAUUUGGGUAUAGGGCGAAAG